CCAGACUCCUACGGGAGGCAGCAGUGAGGAAUAUUGGUCAAUGGUCGGGAGACUGAACCAGCCAAGCCGCGUGAGGGAGGAAGGUACAGAGUAUCGUAAACCUCUUUUGUCGGAGAACAAAACCCGGGACGUGUCCCGGACUGCGUGUAUCCGAAGAAAAAGCAUCGGCUAACUCCGUGCCAGCAGCCGCGGUAAUACGGAGGAUGCGAGCGUUAUCCGGAUUUAUUGGGUUUAAAGGGUGCGCAGGCGGAAGCGGCAAGUCAGCGGUAAAAUUGCGGGGCUCAACCUCGCCGAGCCGUUGAAACUGCUCUUCUAGAGUGGGCGAGAAGUAUGCGGAAUGCGUGGUGUAGCGGUGAAAUGCAUAGAUAUCACGCAGAACUCCGAUUGCGAAGGCAGCAUACCGGCGCCCAACUGACGCCCAUGCACGAAAGCGUGGGUAUCGAACAGGAUUAGAUACCCUGGUA
rnacentral:rRNA from 1 species